AAAUGCGAUAAGUAAUGUGAAUUGCAGAAUUCAGUGAAUCAUCGAAUCUUUGAACGCACAUUGCGCCCGCCAGUAUUCUGGCGGGCAUGCCUGUCCGAGCGUCAUUUCAACCAUCAAGCCCCCGGGCUUGUGUUGGGGACCUGCGGCUGCCCGCAGGCCCUGAAAACCAGUGGCGGGCUCGCUGUCACACCGAGCGUAGUAGCAAUCACCUCGCUCAGGGCGUGCUGCGGGUUCCGGCCGUUAAACAGCCUUACAAAACCCAAGGUUGACCUCGGAUCAGGUAGGAAGACCCGCUGAACUUAAG
rnacentral:misc_RNA from 1 species